UUCUAACUACCCGGAGAGAUGCCACUUCUGGAGGAGCAGCGAAAACAUCAUACAUCGUUCGUCUUAACCUUGUCUAAAAGGAAAACGGUUGGAACAACUCUGAUGUAGGUAGAGAAGAGUCAGUGGCUGGUGAAGUAAGAGGAUACAGCUGUCUGCUGAUUCAAGGUCCCUGCCCCGUCGCCUCAACAUCUUCAAGAUCCUGUAGGCUACUGCUGCUGCUCCUUGCUUCAGCACCUUUCCCCUGAUGCCUGACACCCCUCAUCACCAAAUCAGCCCAGUCAACAUGGACCCAAGUCUCCACCACAGUGUGCACAAUACACACAGACAGGGACGAGAACAAAGGUACAAUUGGUCUGAGGGGAGGACACCGCAGACAGCUGAUCAACUCCAUGUCAUCUAAUCAGGCCAUGUAAAGGACCAUGAAGGGAUGGACUUGGUGGAGGACAACAAUGUGACACCCGAAAAGAGUACAUGGAGAUCUCUCAUCCUCAUCCCUCAUGCUUAUAUUGCAUUUCAUAUAGGCCUAGAUUCUGAUGGUCUUGUAAAUGUUUGUUACACAAGUCAGAAAUUGUUGUCUUUGAUUAUUUAAUUUGAUUAUAAUAAAUGGAAAUAUAUUUUAUUGAAAAAUAUUUUUGAAAACCUAGCAAGUUUGUGUGUUUUAGUAUCAGAAUGAGCUUGUAUUGACCAAGUAUAUCUACAAGGAAUUUGACUGGCAUUAGCUGUUGGAACAAUUAGACAUACAGUAGUAUGCAGUCAGAAGAUGCAUACUAUAGAGCACCACAAUAUACAUAAGGCACCUACCAAUAGAUUGAGUGAUGGCAGUGGGAAAAAUGUGAUUAUUGUCUGGCAGGUUUUGUGCAUAAGGGUAAGUUAUUAUUUAACGGAAAAGUUUGAGGUCAAACUAAUGGUGACCUCCAUGUAGCUUUUGUAAUAAUAAUAACUUUAUAUAAUAAUAGCCUAACUUUAUGAUAAUAAUAUAUUUUUUAAAUAACAUGUGUUCAAUUAAAACUAUUUUCUUUUACUG